rnacentral:rRNA from 1 species
GACGUUGCGGCGGACGGGUGAGUAACACGUGGGCAACCUACCCUAUAGUUUGGGAUAACUCCGGGAAACCGGGGCUAAUACCGAAUAAUCUCUUUUGCUUCAUGGUGAAAGACUGAAAGACGGUUUCGGCUGUCGCUAUAGGAUGGGCCCGCGGCGCAUUAGCUAGUUGGUGAGGUAACGGCUCACCAAGGCGACGAUGCGUAGCCGACCUGAGAGGGUGAUCGGCCACACUGGGACUGAGACACGGCCCAGACUCCUACGGGAGGCAGCAGUAGGGAAUCUUCCACAAUGGGCGAAAGCCUGAUGGAGCAACGCCGCGUGAGUGAAGAAGGUUUUCGGAUCGUAAAACUCUGUUGUAAGGGAAGAACAAGUACAGUAGUAACUGGCUGUACCUUGACGGUACCUUAUUAGAAAGCCACGGCUAACUACGUGCCAGCAGCCGCGGUAAUACGUAGGUGGCAAGCGUUGUCCGGAAUUAUUGGGCGUAAAGCGCGCGCAGGCGGUCCUUUAAGUCUGAUGUGAAAGCCCACGGCUCAACCGUGGAGGGUCAUUGGAAACUGGGGGACUUGAGUGCAGAAGAGGAAAGUGGAAUUCCAAGUGUAGCGGUGAAAUGCG